UCCCCAGACCCCACGGUGUGGAAUAAUAAUGGGGAAACCUGAAACUUUUUUUUAGUUGCGUCGUCGUAAUAUUUCCUAAUAAUCCAAAGUUUUACAAGUUGGAAGUGAAUUGAUUAGAACAUUAAAAGAGAGCUCCUCUCUUGUUGCAUGGUCUUAAACUUGUCUGCUAAUUAGGACUUUAUAAUCUUAAAGCUACCUUUUCUGGUUUACUUUAAGUUCAAGACCAUCUCAUGGUUUUCAACAGAAGGCAAAAAAAUACUGGGUACAAUACCAAAUUAGCCGGUCGGUCGAAACUAAAUGCAUUCGUUAGCUAAAGUCUAUGAAAUUAUAUGUAUUAAUAUAUACAAAAAAUAUAUAUUUUAUCAGCUAUUAUUUUUGGAAGCGACUAAGAAUACAUUUCCCAGAAAUAUUUUGCAAAAACACGAAAAAUAUAACAAUAGGCACAUGUAUGAUAACUUAAGAUGUUCAACAGUUUUUUUGUUUUUUUUUUCUAUAAUGUUUCUACACUUCCCCUCCAGCGUGACUCGAAUUCACGACCGUUAGUGGAGGUGCUUUACCAAGUGAGCAAGCCUUAGUUGUCAUGUUCAACAGGUUUGACCCCAAGUUUAGGCGUCUAAUUGAUAAAUAGUGCUAAGUUGACGUGGCUAUCGUUGUAUACCAGAAAUUGUAAUGAAAUGGAAUUUGCAACCAA